UACGGAGGGGGCUAGCGUUGUUCGGAAUUACUGGGCGUAAAGCGCGUGUAGGCAGCUCGGAAAGUCGGGUGUGAAAGCCCUGGGCUCAACCUAGGAAGUGCACUCGAAACUUCCGAGCUGGAGUGCUGGAGAGGAAGGCGGAAUUCUCGGUGUAGAGGUGAAAUUCGUAGAUAUCGAGAGGAACACCGGUGGCGAAGGCGGCCUUCUGGACAGUUACUGACGCUGAGACGCGAAAGCGUGGGGAGCAAACAGG
rnacentral:rRNA from 1 species